GUGCUCACUUAGCACAAUAUGCUAAAACUGGAACAAUACAGAGAAGAUUAGCAUGGCCCCUGCACAAGGAUGAAUGCAAAUUCAUGAAAAACUUCGGGGGCAC
ensembl:snRNA U6 U6 spliceosomal RNA